rnacentral:tRNA from 1 species
CGGCGGCAUGAUGCGCGACCGGACGGUUCCCAAUUCACCUGCGUUCAGGUGACAACGGAUGCCGAAUCGUCGACCUGAAUGAGGUUCAGGAGGUCGCGAGUUCGAAUCUCGCCGCCCCGACCA